rnacentral:rRNA from 1 species
CCUGAUCCAGCCAUGCCGCGUGAGUGAUGAAGGCCUUAGGGUCGUAAAGCUCUUUCGCCAGGGAUGAUAAUGUCAGUACCUGGUAAAGAAACCCCGCAGCCGCGGUAUUACUCCGUGCCAGCAGCCGCGGUAAUA